GCCGCUAUGGUGAAAUUGGUAGACC
rnacentral:tRNA from 1 species